GAAACAGGAAGAAGCGUCGAUAAGAAGAUAAUUCGUAUUGUUUGCUAACUGCUAAAAAGAAGAAGUUGUUUGCCGUGUGGUCCAAGCCUGAUGCAGGGCAGUUCUGCCGGGUUGAGGGGUCCCUGCUGCAGUUUUACCAGUAAAGAAAAUGACUCAUUACAAUUCACUUGGAGGACCACAUAAGCCAUGCAAUGGUGCAUGGAGGAGCACCAAGAGGACAUAAAGUGGAAGUUACCAAAGGUCCAUCGUGGUGCUGGAAACAGAGUCGCUGUGAGUUAUUCUGUGGGGUGGUGAAAGGUCCUGCCUUUCUACAGAUGGACAGUAAAAAUCAACAGAAUGCCAUCAAAGACUACCGGGGGUGGGGGGGGGAAUCGGAUGAAGCAAGAGAGGUCUUUUUAUUCAUCUUUGAGUAUCUGGAGGAGCUGGACACAUUCAUAUCAAAUUGUCUUGAUGAACAAGGCCUCAUGCCAUGUCCUGUGAAUAAUCUUUCAGAGUAAGGAAUCUCUCUGUGUAGCCUAUGUAUGUAUGUAUGUGUACUGCAUAACAAGAACUG